GCCAGCGUGGCAUAGUGGUUUGAGUGUUGGACUAUAAUUCUGGAGUCCAGGGUUCGAUCCCCAGCUCGGCCA